rnacentral:rRNA from 1 species
CCUACGGGUGGCAGCAGUGAGGAAUAUUGGUCAAUGGACGAGAGUCUGAACCAGCCAAGUAGCGUGAAGGAUGACUGCCCUAUGGGUUGUAAACUUCUUUUAUAUGGGAAUAAAAUGUUCCACGUGUGGGAUUUUGUAUGUACCAUAUGAAUAAGGAUCGGCUAACUCCGUGCCAGCAGCCGCGGUAAGACGGAGGAUCCGAGCGUUAUCCGGAUUUAUUGGGUUUAAAGGGAGCGUAGGUGGAUUGUUAAGUCAGUUGUGAAAGUUUGCGGCUCAACCGUAAAAUUGCAGUUGAAACUGGCAGUCGUGAGUACAGUAGAGGUGGGCGGAAUUCGGGGUGUAGCGGUGAAAUGCUUAGAUAUCACGAAGAACUCCGAUUGCGAAGGCAGCUCACUGGACUGCAACUGACACUGAGGCUCGAAAGUGUGGGUAUCAAACAGGAUUAGAUACCCUAGUAGUC